UAUUAAAAAUUUUAUCCAUUUGUACCGUUAAAAAUAACGUAAUUAAUAGAAUAAUUAGACAAUAACUGUGGCAUGCCAUAUGUAUCUUAUGUUGAAGUACAGGGGCAAGUUUUUAACCGUAAAAAUGAAUGAAAUUUUUAAUA
rfam:Gossypium raimondii Chr11_contig_52, whole genome shotgun sequence.